rnacentral:rRNA from 1 species
UACGUAGGGUGCGAGCGUUAUCCGGAAUCAUUGGGCGUAAAGAGCUCGUAGGCGGUUCAGCCAGUCGGCUGUGAAAGUCCGAGGCUCAACCUCGGAAUUGCAGUCGAUACUGCUGUGACUCGCGUCCGGUAGAGGAGAACGGAAUUCCCGGUGUAGCGGUGAAAUGCGCAGAUAUCGGGAGGAACACCAGUAGCGAAGGCGGUUCUCUGGGCCGGCCCUGACGCUGAGGAGCGAAAGCGUGGGGAGCGAACAGG